rnacentral:rRNA from 1 species
CAAUAGCGUAUAUUAAAGUUGUUGCAGUUAAAAAGCUCGUAGUUGGAUUUCUGGUCGGAAGCUCCUGUCCUCUGAUGAGCGUACAAGUGCGUCCUACCAUCCUUCUGUUAACCUUUAAGGCUUUCGCGGCUUUCUAGGGGCUCAGAUAUUUUACCUUGAGAAAAUUAGAGUGUUUCAGGCAGGCUAGCGCCGGAAUACAUUAGCAUGGAAUAAUGGAAUAGGACUUUUGCCUCUUCUGUUGGUCAUGAGGCUCGAGUAAUGAUUAAUAGGGAUAGUUGGGGGCAUUAGUACUUAACUGUCAGAGGUGGAAUUCUCGGAUUUGUUAAAGACUAACUUAUGCGAAAGCAUUUGCCAAGGAUGUUUNCAUUAA